AGUGAACGCUGGCGGUAGGCCUAACACAUGCAAGUCGAACGGCAGCACAGUAAGAGCUUGCUCUUACGGGUGGCGAGUGGCGGACGGGUGAGGAAUACAUCGGAAUCUUCUUUUUCUGGGGGGAUAACGGGGGACAAGUGCCGCUAAUACAGCAUAUAACCUACGGGAUAAAUCAGGGGAUCUUGACGCCUUUGCUGUUUGAUAUAGAUGAUGCCGGAUUAGCUAGUUGGCGUGGUAAAGGCCCACCAAGGCGACGAUCCGUAGCUGGUCUGAGAGGAUGAUCAGCCACACUGGAACUGAGACACGGUCCAGACUCCUACGGGAGGCAGCAGUGGGGAAUAUUGGACAAUGGGCGAAAGCCUGAUCCAGCCAUGCCGCGUGGGUGAAGAAGGCCUUCGGGUUGUAAAGCCCUGUUGUUGGGAAAGAAAAGCAGCAGGUUAAUACCUGGCUGUUCUGACGGUACCCAAGGAAUAAGCACCGGCUAACUUCGUG
rnacentral:rRNA from 1 species